GGGUUUUUUUAGGUUUUGAUUUUUAUUGCAUUUUCAUAAGAAAAUCAAAACAUAAAUAAAAUG
rnacentral:pre_miRNA from 1 species